rnacentral:lncRNA from 1 species
CUUAAAUAGGUUGGCGUAUUAAGUUCUCAGCAUAUAUCUCUAUUGUCUUGGCUUGAGUUUGAUGCAUUUUCUAUGUGCUAUUCGUGACUUGGAGAACUCAAGGUAAUUGAGCCAUGCCAACCUGGGGUGUGAACAGAAUCUUUCCCACCCCAGUGUUGCAAGGGAGAGCAAAAUCUCAGCAACAAGCCAGCCCCCUUCUUUUGGCAACUCACAGCUUCUUACUUGAGAAGCCCCCUUCUUUUGGCAACUCACAGCUUCUCACUUGAGAAGCUCUCAUCUGAGCCAACACUCCUAAGAUCACUACACAUGGCCUCCUUAAACCCCUCUUACACUAAAGGCUUGGGCUCUUAUUUUAUUUUUGCAUGGGAACCUGAGGAAGGAAAUGUAUUGCUAAGACUUUACUAGAUUCAGAUCAUCUGGGGCCUCUAGAUAAUUGACUUGAUGAAACGAGCAAAGCCCUGACCCCCAGCAACGUGCCUACAACUUCUGGAAGUUGCUUUCUGAGCAGCACAGACCAGGGCAGUGAGUUUUUCUUUGAAAUGUGCUUGUUCUUUUUCAAACACUGUGAGGUUCUUUACUUUGCCUUCCUACCUGUGCUGAAAUAAAACCAAAACAGGUUAUUUGGUUCUGC